GAGUUUGAUCGUGGCUCAGAUUGAACGCUGGCGGCAUGCCUUACACAUGCAAGUCGAACGGCAGCACGGGAGCUUGCUCCUGGUGGCGAGUGGCGAACGGGUGAGUAAUGCAUCGGAACGUAUCCUGGAGUGGGGGAUAACGUAGCGAAAGUUACGCUAAUACCGCAUAUUCUGUGAGCAGGAAAGCGGGGGACCUUCGGGCCUCGCGCUCUUGGAGCGGCCGAUGUCGGAUUAGCUAGUUGGUGAGGUAAAGGCUCACCAAGGCGACGAUCCGUAGCAGGUCUGAGAGGAUGAUCUGCCACACUGGAACUGAGACACGGCCCAGACUCCUACGGGAGGCAGCAGUGGGGAAUCUUCCGCAAUGGACGAAAGUCUGACGGAGCAACGCCGCGUGUAUGACGAAGGCCUUC
rnacentral:rRNA from 1 species